CAGGGAUUGCCCCAGUAACGGCGAGUGAAGCGGCAACAGCUCAAAUUUGAAAUCUGGCCCCAGGCCCGAGUUGUAAUUUGCAGAGGAUGCUUUUGGCGCGGUGCCUUCCGAGUUCCCUGGAACGGGACGCCAUAGAGGGUGAGAGCCCCGUACGGUUGGACACCAAGCCUUUGUAAAGCUCCUUCGACGAGUCGAGUAGUUUGGGAAUGCUGCUCUAAAUGGGAGGUACAUUUCUUCUAAAGCUAAAUAUUGGCCAGAGACCGAUAGCGCACAAGUAGAGUGAUCGAAAGAUGAAAAGCACUUUGAAAAGAGGGUUAAACAGCACGUGAAAUUGUUAAAAGGGAAGCGCUUGUGACCAGACUUGCGUCCGGUGAAUCACCCAGCUCUCGCGGCUGGGGCACUUCGCCGGCACAGGCCAGCAUCAGCUUGCCGUCGGGGACAAAAGCUUCAGGAACGUGGCUCCUCUCGGGGAGUGUUAUAGCCUGUUGCAUAAUACCCUUCGGCGGGCUGAGGUACGCGCUCCGCAAGGAUGCUGGCGUAAUGGUCAUCAGCGACCCGUCUUGAAACACGGACCAAGGAGUCAACCUUAUGUGCGAGUGUUUGGGUGUUAAACCCCUACGCGUAAUGAAAGUGAACGCAGGUGAGAGCUUCGGCGCAUCAUCGACCGAUCCUGAUGUUCUCGGAUGGAUUUGAGUAAGAGCAUAUAGGGUUGGACCCGAAAGAAGGUGAACUAUGCGUGUGUAGGGUGAAGCCAGAGGAAACUCUGGUGGAGGCUCGCAGCGGUUCUGACGUGCAAAUCGAUCGUCAAACAUGCGCAUGGGGGCGAAAGACUAAU
rnacentral:rRNA from 1 species